rnacentral:rRNA from 1 species
GACGAACGCUGGCGGCGUGCUUAACACAUGCAAGUCGAACGGAGUGGCGAACGGGGGAGUAACACGUGGGUGACCUUCCCUGCACUUCGGGGUAAGCCUGGGAAACUGGGUCUAAUACCGGAUAGUGUGGGAUGGGCCCGCGGCCUAGCAGCUUGUUGGUGGGGUAAUGGCCUACCAAGGCGGCGACGGGUAGCCGGCCUGAUAGGGUGGACGGCCACAUGGGGACUGAGAGACGGCCCAGAGGGCUACGGGAGGCAGCAGGGGGGAAUAUUGCACAAUGGGGGGAAGCCUGAUGCAGAGACGCUGGGUGGGUGAUGACGGCCCUCGGGUUGUAAACUCCUUUCGCCAUAGACGCGGUAGAUGGAGAAGAAGCACCGGCUAACUACGUGCCAACAGCCGCGGUAAUUC